AAAGUCGAGCGACAGACGAGGAGCUUGCUCCUCUGACGUUAGCGGCGGACGGGUGAGUAACACGUGGAUAACCUACCUAUAAGACUGGGAUAACUUCGGGAAACCGGAGCUAAUACCGGAUAAUAUAUUGAACCGCAUGGUUCAAUAGUGAAAGACGGUUUUGCUGUCACUUAUAGAUGGAUCCGCGCCGCAUUAGCUAGUUGGUAAGGUAACGGCUUACCAAGGCAACGAUGCGUAGCCGACCUGAGAGGGUGAUCGGCCACACUGGAACUGAGACACGGUCCAGACUCCUACGGGAGGCAGCAGUAGGGAAUCUUCCGCAAUGGGCGAAGCCUGACGGAGCAACGCCGCGUGAGUGAUGAAGGUCUUCGGACGUAAACUCUGUUUUAGGGAAACAAUGUGUAAUAACUAUGCACUCUGACGGUACCUAUCAAAAGCCACGGCUACUACUUGCCACAGCCGCGUAUACGUAGGGGCAGCGUAUCCGGAUUAUGGCGUAAGCCCCGUAGGCGGUUUUAAUCUGAGGAAGCCACGCUCACGUGAAGGUCAUGGAAAUGGA
rnacentral:rRNA from 1 species